UGGGGAAUAUUGGACAAUGGGCGAAAGCCUGAUCCAGCCAUGCCGCGUGUGUGAAGAAGGUCUUCGGAUUGUAAAGCACUUUAAGUUGGGAGGAAGGGCAUUAACCUAAUACGUUAGUGUCUUGACGUUACCGACAGAAUAAGCACCGGCUAACUCUGUGCCAGCAGCCGCGGUAAUACAGAGGGUGCAAGCGUUAAUCGGAAUUACUGGGCGUAAAGCGCGCGUAGGUGGUUUGUUAAGUUGAAUGUGAAAUCCCCGGGCUCAAACUGGGAACUGCAUCCAAAACUGGCAAGCUAGAGUAUGGUAGAGGGUAGUGGAAUUUCCUGUGUAGCGGUGAAAUGCGUAGAUAUAGGAAGGAACACCAGUGGCGAAGGCGACUACCUGGACUGAUACUGACACUGAGGUGCGAAAGCGUGGGGAGCAAACA
rnacentral:rRNA from 1 species